GAUGAACGCUAGCGGCAGGCUUAACACAUGCAAGUCGAGGGGCAGCGCGGAGUAGCAAUACUUUGGCGGCGACCGGCGGAAGGGUGCGUAACGCGUGAGUAACAUGCCCGUAUCUGGGGGAUAAGCGAUGGAAACGUUGUCUAAUACCCCAUAUGAACUUUAGACGAUGGUUUUUAGUUUGAAAGAAUUUUGGAUACGGAUUGGCUCGCGUAACAUUAGCUAGUCGGCGGGGUAACGGCCCACCGAGGCGACGAUGUUUAGGGGUUCUGAGAGGAAGGUCCCCCACACUGGAACUGAGACACGGUCCAGACUCCUGCGGGAGGCAGCAGUGAGGAAUAUUGCACAAUGGGCGAAAGCCUGAUGCAGCGACGCCGCGUGAGUGAAGAAGUAUUUCGGUAUGUAAAGCUCUAUCAGCAGGGAAGAAAAUGACGGUACCUGCACAAGAAGCCCCGGCUAACUACGUGCCAGCAGCCGCGGUAAUACGUAGGGGGCAAGCGUUAUCCGGAUUUACUGGGUGUAAAGGGAGCGUAGAUGGAAUGGCAAGUCAGAUGUGAAAGGCAUGGGCUCAACCCGUGGACUGCAUUUGAAACUGUCAAUCUGGAGUGUCGGAGGGGCAAGCGGAAUUCCUGGUGUAGCGGUGAAAUGCGUAGAUAUCAGGAGGAACACCGGUGGCGAAGGCGGCUUGCUGGACGAUUACUGACAUUGAGGCUCGAAAGCGUGGGGAGCAAACAGGAUUAGAUACCCUAGUAGUCCACGCUGUAAACGAUGAAUGCUAAGUGUUGGGGUAACUCAGUGCUGCAGUUAACGCAAUAAGCAUUCCGCCUGUGGAGUAUGCACGCAAGUGUGAAACAUAAAGGAAUUGCCGGGGGCCCGCACAAGCGGUGGAGUAUGUGGUUUAAUUCGACGCAACGCGAAGAACCUUACCAGGCCUUGACAUCCCUUGCAAAACUCUAGAGAUAGAGCAGAGGUUAUCAAGGUGACAGGUGGUGCAUGGUUGUCGUCAGCUCGUGUCGUGAGAUGUUGGGUUAAGUCCCGCAACGAGCGCAACCCUUGUCUUCAGUUACCAUCAUUUAGUUGGGGACUCUGGAGAGACUGCCGGUGAUAAACCGGAGGAAGGCGGGGAUGACGUCAAAUCAUCAUGCCCCUUAUGGCCUGGGCUACACACGUACUACAAUGGCGUAUACAACGAGUCGCAACCUGGCGACAGGAAGCAAAUCUCUUAAAGUACGUCUCAGUUCGGAUUGGAGUCUGCAACUCGACUCCAUGAAGUUGGAAUCGCUAGUAAUCGCGGAUCAGCAUGCCGCGGUGAAUACGUUCUCGGGCCUUGUACACACCGCCCGUCAUACCAUGAGAGCUGGUAAUACCCGAAGCCGGUGGCCUAACCGCAAGGAAGGAGCCGUCGAAGGUAGG
rnacentral:rRNA from 1 species